CCUGCUGUUUAAACUUUAAGAUGAUCCCUAACUUGAUUAAAGUCCCCAACCAGUAGGCCGAGGAAAAUGCUUCAGAAAAAACAAGGUCAUGCUGCAUUUUUUUUGGUAAGCACAGGAAUCAACAAAGAGAUGUUAUAUAACUUCUAUUUAUAUCCUCCUUGCUCACUAUCUGCAGGCAGACAAGAGUCGCUGAGAAGGGAUUUAAUGAGCUCUCUGGGUUUGCUCACCUUCCUGAGCUGGUAGGAACCAGCUUGUUCUCAAGUGCGUCAGCAAAGAAUCUGGCUGUGGGUGGGCGGUCGGGGUAGGUGGACAGACUUGUUGCCAUGGUGUUCUUUAAUUCCCCUGUCUCUCAG
ensembl:misc_RNA